GAUGAACGCUGGCGGCAUGCCUAAUACAUGCAAGUCGUGCGGAAACACUUCGGGUGUCGAGCGGCGGACGGGUGAGUAACACGUUAGUAUCUACCCCAAACUGAGGGAUAAGCCCGAGAAAUCGGGUCUAAUACCGCAUAUGGUCUUUGGAUAAAAGCCUUCGGGCGGUUUGGGAGGAGCUUGCGUCUGAUUAGCUAGUUGGUAAGGUAAUGGCUUACCAAGGCUACGAUCAGUAGCUGGUCUGAGAGGAUGAUCAGUCACACUGGAACUGAGACACGGUCCAGUCUCCUACGGGAGGCAGCAGUAGGGAAUUUUCCACAAUGGGCGAAAGCCUGAUGGAGCAAUGCCGCGUGCAGGAUGAAUGCCCUCGGGUUGUAAACUGCUUUUAUGAGGGAAGAUUAUGACGGUACCUCAUGAAUAAGCCUCGGCUAACUCCGUGCCAGCCGCCGCGGUAA
rnacentral:rRNA from 1 species